rnacentral:rRNA from 1 species
UUUGCAUAUUCAAAAAGCGGAGGAAAAGAAACCAACAGGGAUUGCCUCAGUAACGGCGAGUGAAGCGGCAACAGCUCAAAUUUGAAAUCUGGCCUCCCGGGGUCCGAGUUGUAAUUUGUAGAGGAUGUUUUGGGUACCGCCCCGGUUUAAAUUUCUUGGAACAGAAUGUCAGAGAGGGUGAGAAUCCCGUCUUGGACCGGUGGUAGGGCCUGUGUAAAACUCCUUCGACGAGUCGAGUUGUUUGGGAAUGCAGCUCAAAAUGGGUGGUAAAUUUCAUCUAAAGCUAAAUAUUGGCCAGAGACCGAUAGCGCACAAGUAGAGUGAUCGAAAGAUGAAAAGAACUUUGAAAAGAGAGUUAAACAGUAUGUGAAAUUGUUGAAAGGGAAGCGCUUGCAACCAGACUUGAGCGCGACGGUUCCCCUAGCCUUUUGGCUAGGUUACUCCGUCGUGUCCAGGCCAACAUCGGUUCUGAGGGUCGGUCAAAGGCUCUGGGAAUGUAUCUACCCACGGGUAGACUUAUAGACCAGGGUGUCAUGCGACCUCUCGGGACCGAGGAACGCGCUUCGGCUCGGAUGUUGGCGUAAUGGUUGUCAGCGACCCGUCUUGAACCAACGGACCAA